rnacentral:rRNA from 1 species
GAUGAACGCUAGCGGCAGGCCUAAUACAUGCAAGUCGAACGGUGUCUUCGGACAUAGUGGCGCACGGGUGCGUAACACGUAUGCAACCUACCUUACAUUGGGGGAUAGCCUUUCGAAAGGGAGAUUAAUACCGCAUAAGACAGUAGCUGGGCAUCCAGCAGCUGUUAAAGAUUUAUCGAUGUAAGCUGGGCAUGCGUCCAAUUAGCUAGUUGGUGAGGUAACGGCUCACCAAGGCAAUGAUUGGUAGGGGAACUGAGAGGUCAAUCCCCCACACUCGCACUGAGAUACGAGCGAGACUCCUACGGGAGGCAGCAGUAGGGAAUAUUGGGCAAUGGACGCAAGUCUGACCCAGCCAUGACGCGUGCAGGAUGAAGGCAUUAUGCGUUGUAAACUGCUUUUAUACAGGAAGAAACGACUCUUGCGAGAGGCAUUGACGGUACUGUAUGAAUAAGCACCGGCUAACUCCGUGCCAGCCGCCGCCGUAA